rnacentral:tRNA from 1 species
GAGUGUACAGCUUAGUGAUGGAGUGUAUGCUUAACAUGCAUGAGGUUCUGGGUUCAAUCCCUAGUACCGUCA